rnacentral:rRNA from 1 species
UACGGAGGAUGCGAGCGUUGCCCGGAUUUACUGGGUGUAAAGGGCGUGUAGGCGGUCUCUCAAGUCCGAUGCUAAAGACCGAAGCUCAACUUCGGGGGUGCGUUGGAUACUGUGAGGCUAGACGGUCGGAGAGGGUAGCGGAAUUUCCGGAGUAGCGGUGAAAUGCGCAGAUACCGGAAGGAACGCCAAUAGCGAAAGCAGCUACCUGGACGAUUUGUGACGCUGAGGCGCGAAAGCGUGGGGAGCAAACCGG